GAUGAACGCUAGCGGCAGGCUUAAUACAUGCAAGUCGAGGGGUAACAGGGGUAGCAAUACCUGCUGACGACCGGCAAACGGGUGCGGAACACGUACGCAACUUUCCCAAAACUGGUGAAUAGCCCUCCGAAAGGAGGAUUAAUACACCGUAACAUAAUGAAGUGGCAUCACGUUUAUUAUUAUAGCUCCGGCGGUUUUGGAUGGGCGUGCGCCUGAUUAGGUAGUUGGCGGGGUAA
rnacentral:rRNA from 1 species